ACCCAAGUGAGUCCAAACCGGUGAUGCCUGACGCAUCAGCACCAACUGCUCCCCAUGGUCCACCGAUUGGUUCAGGCAUCAGACCAGUGCUUACAUCAUCCUCAGUUUUAAACCAAUUACAUUGUUCGGUCUUUUGACUAAAUGCUAAGAAUUUAGCUUGGUCUUACCGAAUUGUAUGACACAACAAUUUGACCUCAAUGAGAAGAUGUGAGG